GACGAACGCUGGCGGCGUGCUUAACACAUGCAAGUCGAACGAAGUGGCGAACGGGUGAGUAACGCGUAAUCAACCUGCCCUUCAGAGGGGGACAACAGUUGGAAACGACUGCUAAUACCGCAUACAGAAGGAGGGGAUUGCGUCGGAUUAGCUAGGUGGAGGGGUAACGGCCCACCAAGGCGAUGAUCAGUAGCCGUUCUGAGAGGAUGAACGGCCGCCUUGGGACUGAGACACGACCCAGACUCCUACGGGAGGCAGCAGUAGGGAAUCUUCCGCAAUGGGCGGAAGUCUGACGGAGCAACGCCGCGUGAGUGAUGACGGCCUUCGGGUUGUAGAGCUCUGUUAAUCGGGACGCGGUACCGGGAUAGAAAGCCACGGCUAACUACGUGCCAGCAGCCGCGGUAAUUC
rnacentral:rRNA from 1 species